AUGUCCACUGUCCUCGAAACGCUUGGUUCGGACUUUGAUGACUAUGUUUACCUGCCGGCGAUUGGCACUCGCGGCGGUAUCCUGCUGGCCUGGAAGAGCAGGAUGGUGAUUGUUGACAAUCACAUGUUCAGCCCCAACACGCUCACUACCCAGGUUUCGACUCCAUCGAGCGUUGACGCCCCCUGGUGGCUGACCAUUGUAUAUGGGCCGCAGCAGGACCAGGAGAAGAUCGCGUUUCUUCAGGAAAUCCGCGACGUCCGUGCUAAUUGCGACGACCCUUGGAUGCUUUGCGGAGACUUCAACUUGAUCUACCGCGACGAAGACAAGAACAACGGGAAUACUAACAGACGCAUGAUGGGGCGCUUCCGUCGUGUUAUCAACGACCUCGCGCUUAAGGAGGUUUACCUCAAUGGUCGACGAUACACAUGGUCAAAUGAGCAGACCCCGCCCACGCUGGUUCACCUCGACCGAGUACUAUGCACCGCGGAUUGGGAGGAGCGACACGGCAAGUGCCACCUUCGCUGCCUUGCCUCGGUUGUAUUUGAUCACAGCCCGCUCAUGCUGGACUGCUCGCCCUCGCCCCCGGUGCACCGGCGCUUCCAAUUCGAGGAAUACUGGACGCGCAUUGCCGGCUUCCAAGACGUGGUUGCGGCUGCUUGGAUUUCGGUGGACGACCCGAGCCCGUUCCGCCGCAUAAUGUGGCGCAUGAAGGCCACCGCACGCAGACUCACGAGCUGGAGCGCUCGCGCCGUGGGCAACAUCCGCGACCAGCUCGCGAUCUCGCGCGAGCUGCUCCUGCGUCUUGACUCGGCCCAGGAGCUUCGCCAGCUCAUGCCCCACGAGGACUGGCUCCGCCGACAGAUCAAGCUGUCAUACCUUGGCCUCGCUUCGCUCGAGCGAACUCUGGCUCGACAGCGCGCGCGCAUCUCUUCUCUCAAAGACGGCGACGCCAACACAUCCUUCUUCCAUCGCCAGUGCACCUAUCGCAAGCAGAAGAACAGGAUCCACUCCCUGUCGGUUGACGGUGCCAUGCUCACCGACCAGACUGACAUGGCCGCGGCGGCCUUCGCGCAUUACGAUUCUCUGCUCGGGACCGAUCGACCUCGAGAUUGCGCCCUUGACCUGCAGCAUCUCAUCGAGCCGGCCGCCCUCGACGACCUGGAGGCCCCAUUCACUGAAGAUGAGAUUUGGCAAGCCAUCAAACGCCUGCCGGCGCGCAAGGCGCCCGGCCCUGACGGCUUUACCGCGGAGUUCCUUCGAUCCUGCUGGCCCGUCGUCAAGCACGACUUUGUCUGCGCCUUCCAGCAGCUUCAUUCGCUCCGUGGACGAGGUUUCAGUUGUCUGAACCAGGCACUGCUCACGCUCAUCCCAAAGCGCGCCGACGCUGCCAGCCUGUUUGACUACAGGCCCAUCAACCUCAUCCACCUCGUCGCCAAGAUCUUCGCGAAGGUGUUAUCUCUCCGCCUCGCGCCCAAGCUGAAUGACUUGAUCAGUCCCAUCCAGAACGCCUUCAUCCCCGGACGCAGCCUCCACGACAACUUCUUGAUCGUGCGACAGUCGGCGCGCCUCCUCCACCAGCUGGGAACUCCGCGCAUCCUCCUCAAGCUUGAUCUCACCCGCGCCUUCGACUCCGUCUCAUGGCCCUUCCUCUUCGAGGCCUUGCGUCGAUAUGGGUUCGGUGAUCGCUUCCUCGGCUGGAUCGCCAUCCUGCUCUCGUCGGCCAGCACCCGGGUCCUCCUAAAUGGCGCGCCUGGCCCGGCGAUCUGGCAUCGAUGUGGACUCCGCCAGGGCGACCCGGUGUCACCGCAGCUCUUUGUGCUUGCUGUCGACACGUUGGGGCGCUUGUUUCGCCAGGCUGCCGAGCUCAACAUCCUGCAACAGCUGCACCCCCGUCGUGCGAUCCCCAUCAUCUCGCUUUAUGCCGACGACGUCAUCCUCUUCUGCCACCCCUCGCCUAGCGACACGUUGGCGGUCAGAGAGAUCCUGCAGCUUUUUGGCAGAGCUUCAGGCCUGCGGGUAAACUUCCAGAAGAGCACGGCCACGAUGAUUCGUUGCGCAGACGAGGAGGUCGCUCCGGCCAUCGCGACGCUGGGAUGCCCCAUCGCGCAGUUCCCCAUCACCUAUCUGGGUAUCCCCCUCACCUUGCGACGCCCGACUGCCGCCCAACUACAACCCGUCGUCGACAAGACUGCCGGGAAGCUGCCCACUUGGAAGGCGCACCUCAUGAACAAGGCUGGACGCCUCGCUUUUGUCAAAUCCGUGCUCUGUGCAAUUCCCCUGCAUCAACUCCUUGUGCUCGCGCCGCCGAAGAAAGUCCUCAAACUCCUAGAGAAGAUCCAGAGAGGCUUCCUCUGGGCUGGCCGCACCGAGGCUCAAGGCGGCAACUGCCACGUGAACUGGCGCCGCGUCUGCCGCCCUACACGCCUAGGCGGCCUCGGCAUCCAUGACCUGGAGCGCACGGGCCUUGCCUUGCGCACCAGAUGGCUCUAG
rnacentral:rRNA from 1 species